rnacentral:lncRNA from 1 species
AGAUAAUUUUAUAAAUGAAUAUGAACAUUCCAAUUUGUCUUUUCUGUGUGGAAUGCAAAAAGCAAAGAAGUACAAAGGUACCAAGAGUCCAGGAGUCUUUGAGAGGUUGUACUGCUGUUUCAGCGCUUCCAGUGAUCCACUUCUGUGCAUGUACUCUUUGAUUUUACUUUCAUAGUGUUUGAUAGAUUGUGGUGGGUGAGGCAUCGUUGGAAGGUACUGUACUGUGACAUGGUUUUGGCAAAAUAUGAUCUGGGUGAAAAUAAAUAGUGGUAUUUAUCAGUGUAAUGCUACCAAAAGUUCUUUUUGCAUUGACAGGUAGAUCCACUUGUUUAUAAGAAAACCAGCCAUGUUAAUUUUUAAUCUCUGAAAGAUUUAAUGAUUUACACUUUAUUCCUUUGAAAGUAGUACUAAACUGGUUCUUUCUGCAUCAAGAAUGGCAUUUGAGAUAGUGGAGUGUUUUAUUUCCUCCCACGAUUUUGUUUGUUUGCAAUAGAGAAUGAUUUAGCCUAUAGCUAAUAGAGAUAAGAAUUAGUGAUAACCAGUCUGACUUCGCCAGGGUACUUGGAUAACUCCACUGGAAGCAUGUAGUUCAAACCUUUUUAACUGAUUACAUUAGAUAAGCAGACAUCAGAAAGGUUUUAUAUAUGAUCUUUAAAAAGUAUGCUAACUUGAUACAGUAUUAACGAUGUCAUUAAGAUUGUUAAAAAAACAAUGGGUUUCAAUAUGUUUGUAUCUUAUCAGUUACAAUAAUCUGCUUUCUUCAGAUGCAGAUGUUAAAUCAAGCUCAAAAUGUGGAUCUUGAACAAUUUGCUUUUAGACCUAAAUCUUUGUUGCCAGCAUUGUCAAGAUGCUUUGGAUGUGGACUUUGAACUGAGAGAUGAUGUUUGGGAUGAUAUUGAUGAUGAGAAAUUAGUACUAGCUAGCAACUUUGCCAGUAGAGAAUUAGAUGAGUGUGAACCACUUUGCCAGUACACAAGAAGCAAAGCCACAAAUGACAUUUCAAAACAUUCAUGCACAUUACAAGAUGAGACCAAUAUUCAGAACUCAUUUGUUUCUGUGGGUAAUAGCACAUCAAAAAUGAAUUUACCAGUACAGAGUGGAAAUAUAAAUAUGUUCAGUUUUCAAGAAAAAAAACAUUCAAGUCCUUCACAAGAGCUGAAAAACAUACAGUGUUCUUCAAUCUCAAAAAUAAUGUCAGACUCUUCAAAAUUAACUAGGAAGGAGGAUUUCUUUAUUUUCACAAAAGAACAGGAAAAAGAAGUGGAUCCCAGAUAUCUUCUUGAUGAUGAAAUCAAUGAUGUCAAGCCCUUUCUUGGAAUAUUUGAUGGCAUUUUAUAAAACAUAUAAACAAAAUACAUAGUAAGUGCUGGGAGAAGAAAUGUAGUAAUUUUUACAGAGUGAAGCCUUUAAAUCUAGUUAAGAGAAUUUUAUUUCUGUUAUAUACCUAUUUAUUAAUAGCUGGAUUGCUGCAUAGAGUAGAUAAUAACAAAAUUGAUGUCUAAUUGACAGAAUUCUGGGUAUAUUAUCUUCUUUGGAAAAGUGCUUAAAUAUUUGUUUGUUGACCUUGCUGUUUUCAGGAUUACAAAGAAAAAUACUGGAAUGUGUUAAAGGAGAAUAGUUCUGAAACUGAGGGUGCUUUUAUGGACAAAGUAAAAAUCACAUAAGGGAAAGUAAACUGUUUAUUACAUGUCCUGCUCACAAGUGCUCUUUAAAUGAAUGAAGGACUCUUUCCUAAUAAAUUUCUUAAUGCUUUUUGGUUUUGUCUUUCA